UACGUAGGGCGCAAGCGUUGUCCGGAAUUAUUGGGCGUAAAGAGCUCGUAGGCGGUUCGUCACGUCGGGAGUGAAAACUCGGGGCUUAACCCCGAGCCUGCUUCCGAUACGGGCAGACUAGAGGUAGGCAGGGGAGAGCGGAACUCCUGGUGUAGCGGUGGAAUGCGCAGAUAUCAGGAAGAACACCGGUGGCGAAGGCGGCUCUCUGGGCCUUACCUGACGCUGAGGAGCGAAAGCGUGGGUAGCGAACAGG
rnacentral:rRNA from 1 species